rnacentral:misc_RNA from 1 species
AUUUAUAUCUUCUUCAUUCUGUCGCCCUACCCCAUCAUCCAUAGCCUCUGUCUUGACUAUAGCAGUCGGCGGAGGUUUUUGCUUGGGACAAUUCGCAUCGGCAAAGAAAUCCAUCUCAGUAAUUAUUCUGUUUCCAUGGGAAAUGGAACGAUGCCCACCAUCGCAAGAGUGGCUUACAAGACGAUCAGUAGAUGGGUCCAUGACAAUGAUAUCGUGCAUCCACUUAGUGUUUAUUCCAGGCGGCUGGGAAAUGAUCAAGGAACUUGUGGGAUCAGCGCCACAAGAGAGUCUUCUUACUUUUGUCCAUUAAAAAGGAGAAGGAAAUGGGUAGAGAGAGAGAGAGAGAGAGAGAG